CCCGGCGCCCCGCAGUGGGCAGGAGGCCGAGCCUGGCAGCCCCUCCCGGCCCAGCAGCCAGCAAGCUGGGCCAGAAGGCCAAAGCCUGGGUCGACGGCUUGCUUUCAAAUGGUCACCCAGGGAUCCACAGCACCAUCAGACCACCUGAUCUGCAGCGGAAGCUCUCACAGAGUCCAGAGUGCCCACUGCCUGCGACCCUACACAUACACUCAGCAGCCUUUGCUGACAGUGUACUGUGUGUUGGGUGAGGCUUGAGUCUGAAGGAGCCGGUCCCAUGAUCCCAGAGAAUCCCGAGGCCUGUGACAGCCCGCAGCAGAGGUUGGGCCCAUCCUAGAAGGUGAGGGAAAGCUUCCUGGGGGAGGUGCGGGAUGCAAGAGGACAAAUAGACAUUCGGCAGGACGGGAGUAA